rnacentral:rRNA from 1 species
GUUAUAGGGUCAAGCGAACAAGUGCAUGUGGUGGAUGCCUUGGCGAUCACAGGCGAUGAAGGACGCGGUAGCCUGCGAAAAGCUACGGGGAGCUGGCAAACGAGCUUUGAUCCGUAGAUGUCCGAAUGGGGAAACCCACUCCUUUUGGAGUAUCCAUGGCUGAAUACAUAGGCCAUGCGAAGCGAACGCGGUGAACUGAAACAUCUAAGUAACCGCAGGAAAAGAAAUCAACCGAGAUUCCCAAAGUAGUGGCGAGCGAAAUGGGAUGAGCCUUGCACUCUUUAUUUGUAUUGUUAGCCGAACGCUCUGGAAAGUGCGGCCAUAGCAGGUGAUAGCCC